UUAUUUGAGAGUUUGAUCCUGGCUCAGGAUGAACGCUGGCGGCGUGCCUAACACAUGCAAGUCGAACGGGCACAGCGUGGAACGCUGUGCAGUUAUCAACUAUCAGUUAUCAGUUAUCAGUUAUCAGUUAAAAGAUUUAAAACCCGGCAAUUGCUGCAGACGGUUUUAAGGUUUUUAACUGAUAACUGAUAACUGAUAGUUGAUAACUGCACAGCGCUCUGCGCUGUGCUAGUGGCGGACGGGUGAGUAACACGUGGAUAACCUGCCCUAUUCUUUGGGAUACCUUGUGGAAACGCAAGUUAAUACCAAAUAAGCCCACACCAUCGCAUGUUGGAGUGGGAAAAGGUUAUAUCAGUUAUCAGUUAUCAGUUAUUAGUUAUCAGUUAAAAGAGUUAAAGCCUUCGGCAGAUACCGCAGACGGUUUUAAGGUUUUUAACUGAUAACUGAUAACUGAUAACUUAUAACUGAUAUUUCAGGAAUUGGAGGGGUCCGCGUUAGAUUAGCUUGUUGGUGAGAUAAAAGCUCACCAAGGC
rnacentral:rRNA from 1 species